CUCUUGGGGUAGACAAAUUGAUUAUUCAUCAUGCCUUUAAUUUUCAACAUAUAUCAAAGAGAAAGGUCUAAGGAGUGUUGGUCCAAACACAAUUCCCAAGCUUUGUGUUGACAUAAGAUUCACGGAUUCCUUGGCUGCUAUCCUGUUGACGAAAGGAAAGAAUUGGUUAAAAAAGAAGGGUGUCAGAGGAGUCACUGCUGGCUCUUGAAGUACAGAGAGGCACUUUUUAACUGAUUCUCCUAACAGGGAUGUUUGUUUGGUUAACUCAUCAAAAAGAAAGAAAACAGGGAGGCAAGAGAAAGUUCUGCCAGUGUGGCAAACAAGGAAAGGAGAGUUUUUGUGGUGCCAGGGAGAAGAUUCCCUUCUUCCCUUGACGUGGUCUCCAGCACUGAAAGAGCUGAGGAAACCAAAAGAAAGCCCCUUAAUAUAGAGCUCAUAUGAAACACAUUCCUUCUGCUAAUUUAAAUCCAAUAAAGUGAGUAUGGUCUGAAAUGGA